GAGGCUGUAGCUCAGUGGUAUAGCGCAUGUCUACAUGCAUGAGGUCCUGGGUUCAAUCCCCAGACCCUCC
rnacentral:tRNA from 1 species